GUGCACCAGUCGCGAAAACUCCGCAAUACGCGAAAGUGUGACGGGGCUACCCCGAGUGUCGUCCGCUGAGGACGACUUUUCCACGCUGUAAGGAGGCGUGGGAAUAAGGAGAGGGCAAGUCUGGUGUCAGCCGCCGCGGUAAUACCAGCUCUCCGAGUGGUAGGGACGAUUAUUGGGCUUAAAGCGUCCGUAGCCGGCUCAGCAAGUCUCCCGUUAAAUCCAACGAUUCAAUCGUUGGACUGCGGGAGAUACUGUUGAGCUAGGAGGCGGGAGAGGCCGACGGUAUUCCCGGAGUAGGGGUGAAAUCUUCUGAUCCAUGGAAGACCACCAGUGGCGAAGGCGGUCCACCAGAACGC
rnacentral:rRNA from 1 species